GCUCCCAUGGCGUAGUGGUCACUGCACACGCCUUGCACGCGGGAGACCCGGGUUCGAUUCCCGGCGGGGUCA
rfam:Asian citrus Psyllid, Diaphorina citri - Florida Strain, whole genome shotgun sequence.